CAGUCUGCCCUUAGGCAAUUUAGGCGGCCACGAGGCCCCUGACUGCGCGAGGCCUUAGGCGGCCGCCUAAAUCGCCUAAUUAGAGAGCCGCCUCUGGCGGCGACUUUGCAUGCGGAUGCCAUCCAUGUCAACUUUAGAUGCCAGUUUCUGCGCCUACCAUGGUGACCACUGGUAACGGGGAAUCAGGAUUCCAUUCAGUACAGGGACCCUGAGAAACGGCUACCACAUGCAAGGAAGGCAGCAGGCGCGCAAAUGACCCACUCCCGACGCGGGAAGGUAGUGA